UACGUAGGGUGCAAGCGUUGUCCGGAAUUAUUGGGCGUAAAGAGCUCGUAGGCGGUUUGUCGCGUCGGGAGUGAAAACACCGGGCUUAACUCGGUGCUUGCUUUCGAUACGGGCAGACUGGAGGUAUGCAGGGGAGAACGGAAUUCCUGGUGUAGCGGUGAAAUGCGCAGAUAUCAGGAGGAACACCGGUGGCGAAGGCGGUUCUCUGGGCAUUACCUGACGCUGAGGAGCGAAAGUGUGGGGAGCGAACAGG
rnacentral:rRNA from 1 species